GAUGAACGCUAGCGGCAGGCCUAAUACAUGCAAGUCGAACGGGAUCAGGGAGCUUGCUCCCUGUGAGAGUGGCGCACGGGUGCGUAACACGUAUGCAACCUACCUUCAACUGGGGGAUAGCCUUCCGAAAGGGAGAUUAAUACCGCAUAAUAUAAUUGAACGGCAUCGUUUAAUUAUCAAACGUCAGGGUUGAAGAUGGGCAUGCGUCCGAUUAGUUUGUUGGUGAGGUAACGGCUCACCAAGACUACGAUCGGUAGGGAUCUGAGAGGAUGACCCCCCACACUGGUACUGAGACACGGACCAGACUCCUACGGGAGGCAGCAGUAAGGAAUAUUGGUCAAUGGACGCAAGUCUGAACCAGCCAUGCCGCGUGCAGGAGACGGUCCUCUGGAUUGUAAACUGCUUUGUAGGGAANAACCCUCGGAUGCGUUCGAGGCUGACGGUACCUAAGAUAAGGAUCGGCUAACUCCGUGCCAGCAGCCGC
rnacentral:rRNA from 1 species